AGUGAACGCUGUCGGUAGGCCUAACACAUGCGAGUCGAACGGCAGCACAGUAAGAGCUUGCUCUUACGGGUGGCGAGUGGCGGACGGGUGAGGAAUACAUCGGAAUCUACUUUUUCGUGGGGGAUAACGUAGGGAAACUUACGCUAAUACCGCAUACGACCUACGGGUGAAAGCAGGGGAUCUUCGGACCUUGCGCGAUUGAAUGAGCCGAUGUCGGAUUAGCUAGUUGGCGGGGUAAAGGCCCACCAAGGCGACGAUCCGUAGCUGGUCUGAGAGGAUGAUCAGCCACACUGGAACUGAGACACGGUCCAGACUCCUACGGGAGGCAGCAGUGGGGAAUAUUGGACAAUGGGCGCAAGCCUGAUCCAGCCAUACCGCGUGGGUGAAGAAGGCCUUCGGGUUGUAAAGCCCUUUUGUUGGGAAAGAAAAGCAGCAGGUUAAUACCCCGCUGUUCUGACGGUACCCAAAGAAUAAGCACCGGCUAACUUCGUG
rnacentral:rRNA from 1 species